UACAGAGGUCCCAAGCGUUGUUCGGAUUCAUUGGGCGUAAAGGGUGCGUAGGCGGCGCGGUAAGUCGGGUGUGAAAUCUCGGAGCUUAACUCCGAAACUGCAUUCGAUACUGCCGUGCUUGAGGACUGGAGAGGAGACUGGAAUUUACGGUGUAGCGGUGAAAUGCGUAGAUAUCGUAAGGAAGACCAGUGGCGAAGGCGGGUCUCUGGACAGUUACUGACGCUGAGGCACGAAGGUCAGGGGAGCAAACGGG
rnacentral:rRNA from 1 species